GAUGAAGAACGCAGCAAAAUGCGAUACUUGGUGUGAAUUGCAGAAUCCCGUGAACCAUCGAGUUUUUGAACGCAAGUUGCGCCCGAAGCCAUUCGGCCGAGGGCACGUCUGCCUGGGUGUCACGCAUCGUUGCCCCCCCAAACUCCGGUUCGGGCAGGGCGGAAGUUGGCCUCCCGUGCGUGCCUGCGCGCGCGGUUAGCCCAAAAGCGAGUCCUCGGCGACGAGCGCCACGACAAUCGGUGGUUUUUUUACCCUCGUUCCUCGUCGUGCGUGCCCCGUCGCCCGAACGCGCUCUUGCGACCCUUACGCGUCGCCUCGGCGGCGCUCCCAACGCGACCCCAGGUCAGGCGGGACUACCCGCUGAGUUUAAGCAUAUCAAUAAGCGGAGGA
rnacentral:misc_RNA from 1 species